UACAGAGGGUGCGAGCGUUAAUCGGAAUUACUGGGCGUAAAGCGCGCGUAGGCGGCUUUGCAAGUCGGGUGUGAAAUCCCCAGGCUUAACCUGGGAACUGCAUUCGAGACUGCAUUGCUAGAGUAUGGGAGAGGGAAGUGGAAUUUACGGUGUAGCAGUGAAAUGCGUAGAUAUCGUAAGGAAGACCAGUGGCGAAGGCGAGUCUCUGGACAGCAACUGACGCUGAGGCACGAAGGCCAGGGGAGCAAACGGG
rnacentral:rRNA from 1 species